GGGGAAGAACCCUAGCUUGCUCAAUUAACUACAAAUUCAGUACAAUUAUGGAGGAUUCAUGUUACAAAUCGAAUGCUAAUGUCUAAAUACUCACUAAUCUCAGUGUUUUGAGCAUAAGGAUCGAAAGAAGAAGGAGCUAGUUCCGGAUCACAAACAAAGUCACAAGAUCGAGGAUCGAAAGAAGAAGGAGCUAGUUCCGGAUCACAAACAAAGUCACAAGAUCGAGGUAAGUUCGUUACUUACAUGUUUAGUUGUAGAUAUUUCGUAUGA
rnacentral:lncRNA from 1 species